rnacentral:lncRNA from 1 species
GCAGAGGUUCUGGCUCCCCCGGCUACCUUCAAGCACGGGAGCUCUGCCGGUGAACACCCAAACUUCGGGACAAGCCCCCAGAGCCCUCCUCAUUUUUGGGAAAAGAGAAGGGAAGGUGCUGCCCGACCCGACAGCCAGCUGUGGGUGCAGCAGGGCUGCGCUGAGCUCGCCCACCGCAGGGUGCGGGCUGCGUUUCCUCCUUCCUCCCUCCACCCAGGGCCCCCGGGGCACGCAGGGGCAUCUCCCACCGCAGGACGCUUCAGGCUGGCAGCGGGACCUCCAUCCCCCAGCACCGCCGGGGCGGUUUCGGGACAAAACGCUGCAAAACAGCUUCGGGCAGGCGAAGCCCCUGCUGCCGCCGGGCUGUACCUGCAGGCUCGCCUCCUCCCGGACACCCCACGCGUGAGGCCCACGCAGCCGCGUGUCCUGGGCACCUCGGGAGGGCGAUUUUGGUUAACACCCCCCGGCGCCCACCCAAACACCACCAAACUCCAUCCCUGCCUCCCGCUGCUGCUCGGCAGCCCCCCGCCCGCCCGCAGCAGGCCGCCGUGCCCUCGGGCAGCCCCGCCGGGCGCACGCCCACCCCAUACCCACCCCAGGGACCCUCCCGCGGGCACCCCCCGGGUUAGGGGGGGGUCCCCGCACCCCCGCUCCCCGCCGGCAGCUCCGCCCCGCCCCGCCCCGUCCCGCCGCGCCCCCCCCAGCCCCGGGGGCGGCAGCUCGGGGCCGUGCCCGCCCCGCUCACCUGGCGGCGAGCCCCUGGGUCCCGGGGCGCUGCGGGGCGCGGCGGGGCUGCCCCGGCCCUGGCUGCGCGCUCCCGGCUCCGGCAGGCUCGGCCCGUGCAGAGGCGGCGGCGGCGGCGGGGGGCAGCGGGCGGGGGGCGGCGGCGGCGGCGGGGGGGGGAAGCGAGCGGCGCCGCCGCUCAUGGCGGGUGCGGGGCGGCCCGGGAGGGGGCGAGCACGGGGCCGGGGGGGCGCCGGCAGGAGGCAGGGAGCCGGGGGGGAGGCGGCGGCGGCGGCCUGGGCGGCGGGGGAGGGGGAGGACGGGCAGGAGGAGGAGGAGGAGGAGGGGGCGGGCGCGGGGGCGGGGGGAGGCAGGAAGGGGGCGGCGGCAGGGGCCGCCCAGCAGCCGCGAUCUGAGCCGGGCGGAGCCGCCCCGCGCUGCUGCUGCUGCCGGCGGCGGGCGGGGGGACGGGGGCUGGGGGCGGGCUGCGGGCGGCGGGGCACGGGCAUGGGCAUGGGCAUGGGCAUCGCCCCCCGACGGGACGGGACCGGGGCGCUGGGGAGCCGCCGCCCGGUGCUGCGCCGGGGAGGAGGACGACAAGCAGCAGCAGCAGAAGGAGGAGGAGGAGGAGGAGGAGGAGGAGGAGGAGGAGGAGGAAGUCUCCCCGCCUGCUUCCUCCCUCCGCCGGCCCGGCGUCUUCCCGGGGCCGCCCCCCCCCGCUCCCGGUGCCGGCGGCCGCCCCUCGGCUCCGCUCCGUUCCGCUCCGCUCCGCCCGGCCGGGGGUGGAGGCGAGCGUGGCCCGGCCGGACCCGGCUCCCCCCCCGGGGCCCCGGAGCCUCCGCCCGCCCCGCGCAGUCGCGCCGAGCCCGGCCCCGUGCGCGCCUGCGGCUCCACGCCCGUGGGGCUGCACCUCGGGGGGCUGCAGCCCGGUGCCCACAGGGCAUGGGUGUGUUGGGCUGCUCAGCGCUGCUCGGGGUUUGUGGUCUGAGCUCCGCGGAGCUCGCCCGCUCCUUGCCGAGCCCUGUCCCGGCGCCUGUGGCACCCGUGUGGGGUGCCCGUGCCCCUUCCAGGCGGUGUGUGGGGACGGUCGGGGCUGCUGCGGGGUGA